GGGUGAUGAAAGGCAUCCAUAUCUUUGAGGAGUGUAAAACUAGUUCCCUUCUCAACCUUGAGAAAGCUUGUGAGGAGGUGUUGCUCUUGCACGGAAUCCUUGACGAGAUAUUCUGGUCAAGUAUUUGGCCACAUGUUGCUUUUGGUGAUGAUCUUGAAAGGAUUAGGACGACAAUGCCCAGUAUAUGCUAAUGCUGCAGACAUUGGGUUUUGCUAAUUGAAGUAACAUUCUCUGUUUCUAUCAGGUCAAUCAUUCUCAUGUACACUCAGAUAGUAGAAGUUCUAGAAGAACUACAGAUCUUGCGGAUUGAGAUUUUGAUGCUUAGACCCAUGAGUAUUUGUUACAUAGGAGCUACAAAAUUAAUAGAUUAUUAAUAAACUAAUCUAUUCUUCUGUUUUACUAUGACUAAGAUAAUCUAUUUUAAUACAAAUAUCAUUGAUUCCUUGGCC
rnacentral:lncRNA from 1 species